rnacentral:rRNA from 1 species
ACGGGUGGAGUAACGCGUGGGUAACCUGCCCUGUACAGGGGGAGUAACAGUCAGAAAUGACUGCUAAUACCGCAUAAGACCACAGCACCGCAUGGUGCAGGGGUAAAAACUCCGGUGGUACAGGAUGGACCCGCGUCUGAUUAGCUGGUUGGUGAGGUAACGGCUCACCAAGGCGACGAUCAGUAGCCGGCUUGAGAGAGUGAACGGCCACAUUGGGACUGAGACACGGCCCAAACUCCUACGGGAGGCAGCAUG